rnacentral:rRNA from 1 species
GACGAACGCUGGCGGCGUGCUUAACACAUGCAAGUCGAACGAAGUGGCGAACGGGUGAGUAACGCGUAAUCAACCUGCCCUUCAGAGGGGGACAACAGUUGGAAACGACUGCUACUACCGCAUACUGAAGGAGGGGAUUGCGUCUGAUUAGCUAGUUGGAGGGGUAACGGCCCACCAAGGCGAUGAGCAGUAGCCGGGCUGAGAGGAUGAACGGCAAAAUUGGGACUGAGAAACGGACCAGACGCCUACGGGAGGCAGCAGUGGGGAAGCUUCCGAAAUGGACGAAAGUCUGACGGAGCAACGCCGCGGGAGUGAUGACGGCCGUCGGGUUGUAAAGCUCUGUUAAUCGGGACGCGGUACCGGAAUAGAAAGCCACGGCUAACUACGUGCCAGCAGCCGCGGUAAUUC